CCUACGGGAGGCAGCAGUCGAGAAUCAUUCACAAUGGGGGAAACCCUGAUGGUGCGACGCCGCGUGGGGGAAUGAAGGUCUUCGGAUUGUAAACCCCUGUCAUGUGGGAGCAAAUUAAAAAGAUAGUACCACAAGAGGAAGAGACGGCUAACUCUGUGCCAGCAGCCGCGGUAAUACAGAGGUCUCAAGCGUUGUUCGGAAUCACUGGGCGUAAAGCGUGCGUAGGCGGUUUCGUAAGUCGUGGGCGAAAGGCGCGGGCUCAAACCGCGGACGGUACAUGAUACUGCGAGACUAGAGUAAGGGAGGGGGAACCGGAAUUGCCGGUGGAGCAGUGAAAUG
rnacentral:rRNA from 1 species